GAUGAACGCUAGCUACAGGCUUAACACAUGCAAGUCGAGGGACCGGCGCACGGGUGAGUAACACGUAUCCACCCUACCCUUUACGCUUGGAUAGCCUUUCGAAAGACAAAUUCAUACCAUAUAUAAAGAAUGGGGGUUCGUUCCUUUAGGUUGUUGGUGAGGUAACGCCCCCCCAAGCCUUCGAUGGCUAGUGGUUCUGAGAGGAAGGACCCCCACAGUGGAACUGAGACCAGGGCCAAACGCCUACGGGAGGCAGCAGUUAUGAAUAAUGGGCAAUGGGCGUUAGCCUGAACCAGCCAAGUAGCGUGAAGGAUGAAGGCUUAUGGGUCGUAAACUUCUUUUAUAUAAGAAUAUUUAUUAUAUGAAUAAGCAUCGGCUAAUUCCGUGCCAGCCGCCGCGUUAAUA
rnacentral:rRNA from 1 species